UACGGAGGGUGCAAGCGUUGUUCGGAAUUAUUGGGCGUAAAGCGGAUGUAGGCGGUCUGUUAAGUCGGAUGUGAAAUCCCUGGGCUCAACCCAGGAACUGCAUUCGAUACUGGCAAACUAGAGUCUCGGAGGGGGUGGCGGAAUUCCCGGUGUAGAGGUGAAAUUCGUAGAUAUCGGGAGGAACACCAGUGGCGAAGGCGGCCACCUGGACGAUGACUGACGCUCAGAUCCGAAAGUGUGGGGAGCAAAC
rnacentral:rRNA from 1 species